UACGUAGGGUGCGAGCGUUGUCCGGAAUUAUUGGGCGUAAAGAGCUUGUAGGCGGUUUGUCGCGUCUGCUGUGAAAAUCCGGGGCUCAACCCCGGACUUGCAGUGGGUACGGGCAGACUAGAGUGUGGUAGGGGAGACUGGAAUUCCUGGUGUAGCGGUGAAAUGCGCAGAUAUCAGGAGGAACACCGAUGGCGAAGGCAGGUCUCUGGGCCACUACUGACGCUGGAGAAAGCGAAAGCAUGGGGAGCGAACAGG
rnacentral:rRNA from 1 species